ACUUUAAAAUGUUUAUUGUUGGUGUAGAACAAUACAAAGAUUACCAAGUCUCCUGCACAAGGAUGACCCACAAAUUCAUGAAGCAUUCCAUAUAAGA
rnacentral:snRNA from 1 species